GGGAGGGCUCCUCCCUCACAGCGUCCCGAGGGAACCGACCUCGCCUGCAGCCUGGUUUCUGAGCCCUGGCCUCCAGACUGAGAGAGUAGAGACCUGUUCUUUUAAGCCAGCAAGUCUGUGGUAAUUUGUUACAGCAGGAAACUGACCUCGUGUGUGUGUGUGUUUGUACAUAUAUGUGUAUGUCUAUAUUUUUUGAAUUCCCACUCAAUAAUAUAUCUCUCGGUUUAUAUAUUUCUUGGAGAGCAUAGAUAGUGAAUUAAUACUGCUAUUUUCUCAUGUUUUUCAAAACUAAGCCACUCUUGAGUGUGGGUGCACCUGCCUCACACCCCGCCUCCAUCUCAGCCUGGAGGAGAGCAGCCCCCUCUGGGGCACCUGUUCCCCCGGGAAUCACAGCCAGAAGGAAGCACAGAGCACAGAGAAUUACCCACCUCAACGCGACCGGUUCAAUGAGCUCAAGCACCCUAGGUGACAGCAAGCAGCACAGAGCUGCAGUGCAGCUGCCUGCCUUUCGGAGACUGAUCCGCGGUGUCCACGGCAAGUUCAGGGGCCACGACUUAAUUACUCAACCUUAUGGAGCAUUAGAAGGCUUCGGCACGUGGUGGUGAGUCAUCUCAGCUGAGGCUCCUCCUCCAUCUACCAGAUCUUCCCCACGGCUGCCAGGCUAUCUUUCCAAAACCCAGAUAGGAUGGAGCUCCUCCUGCUCUCGAAUCCUUCGGGGCUCCCACACCAACCUCCUGGUGUGGCUACAGAACCCUUCACGUUUGGGCCCCAACCUUACUUCCUGCCACGCCCCCCACCCACUCUACACAGAACUCAUUGGCUCGGACGUGCAGGCCUCUGAGCCUUUGCACACACAGAUCCCUCCACCUGGAAUAAUACCCUUUCCACCUUCUCUGCCUGGUGAACCCCUCCGACCCAGCAUAAAAUGCCGACUGCUCUAGGAACACGUCCUAAAGAACUGAAAGCAGGGACUCGAGCAGAUAUUUGUGCACACGUGUUCAGAGCAGCGUCGUUCACAAUAGCCAAACGGUGGAAACCACCCAAGUGUCCAUCAACAGACGGAUGGAUAAACGAAAUGUGGGCUAUCCAUACAGUGGAAUAUUACUCAUCCAGACUAAAGAUUGAGAUUUCGAUGCUACAACAUAGAGGGACCUCAAAAACAUUAUGCUUAAUGAAGUAAGCCAGACACAGAAGGGCAAAAUAUUAUAUGAUUCUACUUAUAAGAGGUAGCUAGAAUAGGCAAAUUCAUAGAGGCCCAAAGUAGGACAGAGGUUUCCGGGGCUGGGAGGGGGCGUUACAGGGACUUAGUGUUCACUGGGCAGAGUUUCUGUCGGGGAGGAUGAAAAGUUUUGUGUAUAGAAAGUAUAAAUACAACAGCAUUGUAAAUGCAUUUAGUUUCACUGAACUAUACACUUACGAAUGGUUAAAAUGGUAAAUAUUAUGCUAUGUAUGCUUUACCAUAAUUUUUUAAAAACUCUAAAAAAGACAUGCCAGUGGCUCUGAGGCAUCUCCUUUAACUUCCCGGAGAUGAUCGGUUCUUCCCUUCUCUGUUGUCCAUUCGGAAUCUUUCCGUGGUACUCGCUUGCUGAAUUGUACUUUAAAUGUCCGUUACACGUCCGUCCCCUGGCAGACGGGGAGAACCCGGAGGGCAGGGGCUCACCUUUGUCAUCUCAGGCUUUCCCCCAGCACAGUGUCUGGCACAGAAUAGCUGUCAGGAAAUGUUUAUUGGAUGGAAAACAUAAGAACUCUGUGCUAUGGACUGAACUGCGUGCCCCCCAAAUCCGUAUGUUGAGGCUCUGACCGCCACUGUGCCUUUUUUUGGAGAUGAGGCCUUUCCAGAAGGAAUUAACGUUAAAUAAGGUCCUAAGGGUGGGGCCCUGAUCUGAGAGUGUCAGUGUCCUUAUAAAAGAGGAAGAGAUGCCAGAGAGCGAGCUCUCUCCACUCUGUGGGGACACAGUGACAACGUGGCUGGAAGAGUCCGCAUCAGGAUCUGAAUUUUCCAGCACCUUGAUCUUGGACAUUCCAGCCUCCAGAACUGUGAGAUAUAGAUGUUGUUUCAACCCCCCAGUCAUUGGUAUUUUGUCAUUGCAGCCCAAGCUGACUCAUGCACAUGGCAUACAGACAGGAAUGGACGUAAUGCUCACAGACACAGGACCAUCAAGCCAUUUGGUGACCCGUAAUAUCAGUGUGGCAGGUGGUGUGAGCAGCUGGCUCUGGGAAUUGAAGAAGGGCAAAGAGUUUCUAGGGGGCUUCUUGAUCUCUCAAGGAUUCAGCUGUUCUAGAAUCUCGUGGUGUGAGAAGUUCUUUCUGAGGUCUAACCUAAGUCCACCCCCCUCAUCCUCCUCGGUCCUCCCACACUGCAACAUGAGCCUCUCCAGAAAGCGUCCAUGAAAAGGUGGAAGACCCCGUUGUGCAAACCCAAACAUAAAUCUGCCCCAAACCAGGCCUGAAGCGUGAGUCUCCCUCCCCAGGAUCCUUUGCGCACUCAACCAUCGUCCUCUCCGAAGUCAAGUCUGCGUUCUGCAGGUCGGGGUUGGCAAAGACCAGGAAUCGUAUCAGCUUCCUCCCUCCACCCCGCCCUCCACCUCUGACCCCCGACCUGAACCAGGACCACCAUGUCCCCUUCAAAUUCCAUGCUGAAAGUGCUUGUGGGACGGAUAGCUCCGUAACUACAGCUUAGGUUGUAAAAAUGGUAAGUACAUGCCUAAGGGGCCAACCCCAAACUGCUAGAUGUUGCUUGAACUGCGGCCGGCCACAAUAGGAUUUAGAAAUUGGAAGGAAUGUUUUCCACUCUGCAGGGUGCAAACGCUCUCAUCCCACGGCCUAUCUUGACAACACGAUGGUUGCUCUUCUCAACCCAGCCUAGAUAAUUGCGUAAUUAAUUGCGUGCAGGUAACUCAUCCAGAGAAGGUGGUUAUUAGGAGCGGGGAGCCCGACGCCCACUCCCUGGACGAUUACCAGGCUCGCCUCUGUGCCAGAUCCCGGCACGGAGGGGCUGCCAGCCGGUGUGCACGGGGUCUUCUGCGCUCACCUCUGAUCACAGGAGCAGCUAGACCAGAGAGCCUCGCCCCCUCGCUAUUGCCUGUUUGUUCUGCUGGUUCAAGUCCGAGGCUGUUCCUUGGAACCGAGGCCCCGCCAGGGUGGUUGAAGUGAAGAUGUCUUCUUGUCUCGAGGCUUGAAAGGAUCAGGGGUUUCCCUUGGGGCUUUGGCCAGUCCCCCUUUGGGUUUCCUGAGACACUUCUGGAAAGCCGGCCUCCACUUCCUUCCCCACCCACUCCCCCACUGCAGUCCACGUAGCUGGGCUUCGGUUUGGGAAGAUGAAAAGAGAUCUGGAGAUGGCUGGUGGGGAUGGUUGCACACAAUGUGAAUGUUCUUAAUGCCGCUGAAUUAUAUACUUAAACACAGUGAAAAGGGUAAAUUUUGUGUUAUGUACAUUUUGCCCCAAUAAAAAAUUGAUUAAUAAAAAAAUAAAUCGUGUGAAAAUGAACACCAUAAAAACUUUGUCUCAUAGAAAAAGCCCUAGGCCACUUUCUCCUAUUUUUUUCUCAGUAGAGGGAUAAUGGAGUAACUUCCACAUUUUGGCUUCUCUGCCCUCCUGCCAGAGUCAAUUGUUCCAGACCUCUCUGAGGAGGCAUCUGCAACCUAAACGCUGACUCGCUAGCGGCCACAGCUCACACGAUCCCGUUGUAAUUUGAUGAGAAGUCAAACCACUGUGCCCAGAGCAGGUGGGCAUUGCUAAGCAGCUGGACGCAGGCA
ensembl:lncRNA